rnacentral:rRNA from 1 species
AUUGAACGCUGGCGGCCGGCCUAACACAUGCAAGUCGAACGAGUGGCGGACGGGUGAGUAAUGUCUGGGAAACUGCCUGAUGGAGGGGGAUACCUACUGGAAACGGUAGCUAAUACCGCAUACCAUCGGAUGUGCCAAGAUGGGCUUAGCUAGUAGGUGGGGUAACGGGUCACCAAGGCGCCGCUCCCUAGCUGGUCUUAGAGGAUGACCAGCCACACGGGAACUGAGAAACGGGCCAGACUCCUACGGGAGGCAGCAGUGGGGAAGAUUGCACAAUGGGCGGAAGCCUGAUGCAGCAAUGCCGCGUGGAUGAAGAAGGCCUUCGGGUUGUAAAGUACUUUCAGCGAGGAGGCGUUACUCGCAGAAGAAGCACCGGCUAACUCCGUGCCAGCCGCCGCGGUAAUAC